AGCCACCUGCUCCUAUGGUAUGUGAGACACUGGAGGCUCAGGGAGGUGGAGGGCCUUGCCUGGACCUCGAGUGAGCAGCAGAGUUGGCACCGGGGCUCUGCGAGGCGAGGUGUCAGCCAGGCUCCUCCUCGUGCAGCGCCUCAGCGUGCAGGACGUCAUCUACGUGCGGGGCUGCACCAACGCCGUGCUCAUCUGGUUCAUGGACAACUACACCAUCAUGGCAGGCCUCCUGCUGGGCAUCCUGCUCCCCCAGUUCCUGGGGGUGCUGCUGACAUUCCUGUACAUCACCCGGGUGGAGGACAUCAUCAUGGAGCACUCGGUCACCGACGGGCUCUUGGGGCCUGGCACCAAGCCCAGCGUGGAGGCGGCAGGCACAGGAUGCUGCAUGUGCUACCCCAACUAGCGCCCCCAUCUGGGCCAGCAGCUGGGCAGGACCGUGCCGCGACAGCACCACUCGGGCCACAUCACGGUGGCUGGACGGGACUGUGGGUCCUCCCCCCACACUGGGCACUGACCAAAGCCCCAGCCGAGUUUGGGGGGCCUGCUCAGGCCUCCCGCGGCCACGGCCUCUCGGGAGAGCCGAGGCCCUCCCCGGGGCCGGGUCCUGCACCUGCCCGGCCUCCUGGGCGUGGGGAGCAAGGACGCCCCUUCAGCAGGCCUGGGCCCCCGGGAAGGGGGUGCCGAGCACUCAGCUCAGGGCCCAUCUGGUUUCUGGCAGUGCCGUGGCCUGUGGUGUUUCGGCCCCCGUGAGGGCAAUCUUGUAGUAAAAUGAGCACGAAGGAGAGCACGUGUGGUGGCAGGUGUGUGGGCCCCAGGGUCCCUGGAGUCCCUCGGCCACGACCCAGAGGCCAGGUUGGGCGCAUUUCGCAGCCUCCCAGGGUCCUUGAGCCCUCCCCAAGGCUGCUGCUUUGCUGACCCCGUUUUUUAUGUGAUUUUUGUAACAUUCAUUUUGUACACAGUUAACAGGAGUUUCUGACUAAUCAGAGCUGGGUGUUGCCCACACGCCCCACUCUUGCCCCUCCAAGCCCGUUUAUUAAUCAAACAAUAAAGACGUGAUUUUUUUUUUUUUUAAUGUUUCA
rnacentral:lncRNA from 1 species